UCAUGGGCACAUAAUUUUGGCAGAUCCUUCACCCUUAUUGUUUUGUCUGUUUUCAGUUGUGUACAUUUUUGUGUGAACAUAUAUUUCCUUUAUGAUAUUUUUUUUGUUUUUAUCUUUUUCUUGUGGAUUUUAAAUGGACCGAAGAUUUGGAAGUUGGUAACAGUAUUGAGGUAGUUUUGAAGCUUAGUUUUGCUUUCCUCUUCCAUUUUUGUGGUGAGCGAUUGAGCAUCAGGAUCGAACUUUGAGAGUGAUCGAGUGCUUAGGCUGAUCCCAGAGUGGUCUAAAAGUGUUCAAAGCUGGGACGUCUUGAUUAGGCUGUUGAUUGAAAGGAUGUUUGCAGAGCCAUCAAAUGCAACAACUGUCAAGUUUUUGAGUUAUUUGAGUGAGCACUUGGCAGAAGCUGCUGAUGCAGUGCUCUCUUGUGUUCUAUUGCAUGCUAAGCGACAUAAAGAAAUUGAUGAAAACAGCUUUUCUGGAUGGGAGUGUCAAACCUAUAGAAGUGAUGACUCUGAAAAAAAAUGCAGCGGACUCUUUUGGAACACCUUUGCCCACUACUGUUG